rnacentral:rRNA from 1 species
UACAGAGGGUGCAAGCGUUGUCCGGAAUUAUUGGGCGUAAAGGGCUCGUAGGCGGUCUGUUGCGUCGGGAGUGAAAACUCAGGGCUUAACCCUGAGCCUGCUUCCGAUACGGGCAGACUAGAGGUAUGCAGGGGAGAACGGAAUUCCUGGUGUAGCGGUGAAAUGCGCAGAUAUCAGGAGGAACACCGGUGGCGAAGGCGGUUCUCUGGGCCGAUACUGACGCUGAGGAGCGAAAGCGUGGGGAGCGAACAGG